rnacentral:rRNA from 1 species
CCUACGGGAGGCUGCAGUGGGGAAUAUUGGACAAUGGGCGCAAGCCUGAUCCAGCCAUGCCGCGUGUGUGAAGAAGGUCUUCGGAUUGUAAAGCACUUUAGGUUGGGAAGAUAGGCAGUAAGCCAAUACCAUGCUGUUUGGACAAUACCGACAGAAUAAGCGCCGUCUAACGAUGUGCCAGAGGGCGCUGCGGAAUAACUGGGCGUAGAGCGCACGCAGGUGGAUUGUUAAGUCAGGUGUGAAAGCCCCGGGCUCAACCUGGGAAUUGCAUCCGAAACUGGCUGGCUUGAGUCCGGGAGAGGGUGGUGGAAUUUCUAGUGUAGAGGUGAAAUGCGUAGAUAUAGGAAAGAACACCAGUGGCGAAGGCGACUACCUGGACUGAUACUGACACUGAGGUGCGAAAGCGUGGGGAGCAAACAGGAUUAGAUACCCUUGUAGUC